rnacentral:rRNA from 1 species
GACGGAGGGUGCAAGCGUUGUUCGGAUUGACUGGGCGUAAAGGGCGUGUAGGCGGUUGGUCAAGUCGGGGGUGAAAGCCUGAGGCUCAGCCUCCGAAGUGCAUCCGAAACUAGCCAGCUAGAGCGCGAUAGAGGAGGGUGGAAUUACUGGUGUAGCGGUGAGAUGCGUAGAUAUCAGGAGGAACACCGGCGGCGAAGGCGGGCCUCUGGCUCGUUGCUGACGCUGAGACGCGAAAGCGUGGGGAGCAAACAGG